CCUACGGGUGGCAGCAGUGAGGAAUAUUGGUCAAUGGGCGAGAGCCUGAACCAGCCAAGUCGCGUGAAGGAUGAAGGAUCUAUGGUUUGUAAACUUCUUUUAUAUGGGAAUAAAGUGAGGAACGUGUUCCUUUUUGUAUGUACCAUAUGAAUAAGCAUCGGCUAACUCCGUGCCAGCAGCCGCGGUAAUACGGAGGAUGCGAGCGUUAUCCGGAUUUAUUGGGUUUAAAGGGUGCGUAGGUGGUUAAUUAAGUCAGCGGUGAAAGUUUGUGGCUCAACCAUAAAAUUGCCGUUGAAACUGGCAGUCUUGAGUACAGUUGAGGUAGGCGGAAUUCGUGGUGUAGCGGUGAAAUGCUUAGAUAUCACGAAGAACUCCGAUUGCGAAGGCAGCUUACUAAACUGCCACUGACAUUGAUGCUCGAAAGUGUGGGUAUCAAACAGGAUUAGAUACCCCAGUAGUC
rnacentral:rRNA from 1 species